GUGCCAGCCGCCGCGGUAAGACAGAGGGUGCAAACGUUGUUCGGAAUUACUGGGCAUAAAGAGCACGUAGGUGGUGCGCUAAGUCACGUGUGAAAUCCCCCGGCUCAACCGGGGAAUGGCGCGUGAUACUGGCGGACUCGAGGCGGGUAGGGGUGAGCGGAACUCCAGGUGGAGCGGUGAAAUGCGUAGAUAUCUGGAGGAACACCGGUGGCGAAAGCGGCUCACUGGACCUGAUCUGACACUGAGGUGCGAAAGCUAGGGUAGCAAACGGGAUUAGAUACCCUAGUAGUCC
rnacentral:rRNA from 1 species